rnacentral:rRNA from 1 species
UCUCAGUUCGGACUGUAGGCUGCAACUCGCCUACACGAAGCUGGAAUCGCUAGUAAUCGCGGAUCAGCACGCCGCGGUGAAUACGUUCCCGGGCCUUGUACACACCGCCCGUCACACCAUGAGAGUCUGUAACACCCAAAGCCGGUGGGAUAACCUUUAUAGGAGUCAGCCGUCUAAGGUAGGACAGAUGAUUAGGGUGAAGUCGUAACAAGGUAUC